GCAGGCAUAGCUCAAUUGGCUAGAGCGCGUCCUUGCCAAGGACGAGGUUGCGAGUUCGACCCUCGUUGCUUGCUCCA
rnacentral:tRNA from 1 species